rnacentral:pre_miRNA from 1 species
UAAAUACUCCCUUCGUCCGGAAUUACUUGUCAUCAAAAUUGAUAAAAAUGGAUGUAUCUAGAACUAAAAUACAUCUAGAUACAUCCAUUUUAAUGACAAGUAUUUUCGGACGGAGGGAGUAUUUG